rnacentral:tRNA from 1 species
CAGGUUGGAGCUUGUUUAAGUUUUUUAUUUACACUAAAAGGAAAAUUCGUUGAUGGAUUUAACCUGA